rnacentral:misc_RNA from 1 species
GAAAUGCGAUAAGUAGUGUGAAUUGCAGAAUUCAGUGAAUCAUCGAGUCUUUGAACGCACAUUGCGCCCCCUGGCAUUCCGGGGGGCAUGCCUGUCCGAGCGUCAUUGCUGCCCAUCAAGCCCGGCUUGUGUGUUGGGUCGUCGUCCCCCCCGGGGGACGGGCCCGAAAGGCAGCGGCGGCACCGUGUCCGGUCCUCGAGCGUAUGGGGCUUUGUCACCCGCUCGACUAGGGCCGGCCGGGCGCCAGCCGACGUCUCCAACCAUUUUUCUUCAGGUUGACCUCGGAUCAGGUAGGGAUACCCGCUGAACUUAAGC